UUUAAUUCGACGCAACGCGAAGAACCUUACCAGGGCUUGACAUCCCCUGACCGCGUAUGAAAGUACGUUUUCACCCUCGGGUGACAGGGAGACAGGUGGUGCAUGGUUGUCGUCAGCUCGUGUCGUGAGAUGUUGGGUUAAGUCCCGCAACGAGCGCAACCCCUACGUUUAGUUGCUAACAGGUGAAGCUGAGCACUCUAGACGAACUGCCGUUGACAAAACGGAGGAAGGUGGGAUGACGUCAAAUCAUCAUGCCCCUUAUGUUCUGGGCUACACACGUGCUACAAUGGCCGGUACAGACGGAGGCGAAGCCGCGAGGCGGAGCAAAUCCGAAAAAGCCGGUCUCAGUUCGGAUUGCAGGCUGCAAUUCGCCUGCAUGAAGUCGGAAUCGCUAGUAAUCGCAGGUCAGCAUACUGCGGUCGAAUACGUUCCCGGGCCUU
rnacentral:rRNA from 1 species